GCCAGGAGCAGUGAUGUGUGCCUGUAAUCCCAGCAGCUCAGGAGGCUGAGGCAGGAGGAUCACAAGUUCAAAGCCAGCCUCAGCAACUUAGUGAGACCCUAAGCAACUCAGUGAAACUCUGUCUCUA
rnacentral:sRNA from 1 species